UGUUUGCAACAACAUCUGCCACAUGUUGAGGAGGAGGAGGAGGAGGACGAAGAAAGCAGCCAGCAAGCAGAGGAAUUAGAGACAUCUGGUGAUACUUGGAGUACAGAUGUAGGGAGGCAGGUUAGGCAAGACCUCAUAAAUCGUUAUUUUUAAGCAUCUUACACACAAUGUGCUACUGUAUGGCUGAAGUGGACAUACAUACAUUUACAGGAUGUGGACAAGGCCAUUUCUGUAGGAUUACAUUUCAUGUUUUACUGACUUUGUUUGAUACUCACAAUCAAGAUGAGGGGAGUGUGGUUCACGUCUUGGAGGUGUGUCCAAAAUUUGGAGUGGGGGGACCGAACAUACUGUCGAUAAUCUUCGUGGCGGGGUAACCUGCUGUGGUUGGCCCUGGACAUCAGACCUUGCUUUCUUUGCUGCCACAUGUUUAUUUUGGUGGUGUGUUACAGAAGUCCGACUUCUGCUGCUCCAGACUUCUUUUGAUGGACCUAGUAUUGAAAGUUAAAUGUUGUUAUGGCCAUUCCUUUACAAACAUAUCCUAUACUACAAUGGACACUUUACCUGCUUCCGCAGCGUCAUCAUCAUCAGAUG